AGUUGGGGUGCGAGUGUGCACACGCCCCGCGGUAGGAGGCGGGCCCACGCGGGUAGGUUUCCUCUGGCCCUCCUCUUACCCCCGCUGCAAACUUUAACUCAGGACCGGGGAGAAGCUGGAUAGGCUGACUUGCUGCUACAGUGUUUACUCUGGCGAAAGCGCCAGUCAUUCGGACAGCCACUCCUCCUGGCCGGGGUGCUCCCGCUGGUGGCCCGGCAGAGGGCGCCAGCUCCCGAUCGCUGCGCGGGCCGGCGGAGGGGAGGGGACUUGUUCGAGCCUUCAGGUAAGGAGCGUAGUGAAUCAUCCCGAGGCGGGGGACCCGAUCCUCGCUCGGUGAAAGGAGGGAGGGAGUGGCCGUGGCGCUUUUAAGAAGCUUGGGCUGCGGAGCCACUGUCCGUCGAGAAGCGGUGAUUCUGCCACCCGGAGGACUGGGGAAGGCUCAGGGAGGUGAGGAAGGUCCCUCCGCGCGGUAGCCCCAGGGCAGGGAACGACAGCCUAGCUUAAGGCCGGCAGACACUAGGACACGCCGCGGCGCGCCCUUCUCGGGGCCAGGGGGUGGGGCCAGUUUUACUGUGACUCUGGGCUGUCCUGCUGGGGGCGGCGACGGGAACCUGGGAACUGGCGGCCGGUUCCCGAGCGGCUGUGAU
rnacentral:lncRNA from 1 species